CACGUUAGCCGGGGUUUGGACUUAUGCAUAUACCGCAACAACGUUGAGAAAAAGCCACGUACCGCGUGAUAACACUAAUGCCACAUUUGUAAUGCAGCGGCACAGCCUCUUCUACAUGACGUUCAAGUUUAAAUGUGGCGUGUCAAGACUAAAAUGAAGGAUCUAAGCAGCUAACCACUCACACAGUGCUAAUGUUAGCAGACGUUAGCUUAGCAUGGGAUUUGCUUGCUGUGCUAUUUGACGUUUGAGUUUUAGGAGGCCAUGUUAAUCUCGGGGCGCCAGAUAAAUGAAUUUAACUAGCUAUCUAACACUGGCCAACUACGUUUCGUGGUAUUCAUAACGAAACGGCAAUAAAAGUCAACACGACCAAAGCUUCUGUUAAAAUCUCUUGAGCUCGACGUGAAACUGCGCUAGCAAGCUGAGCUCUCGAGUGAGGUAAGAUUAUCCGGCCAAUUUACUUUACUGUGUAGUUAAAGCUCUGAUGCUAACGCUAGCUAGCCAAUUUGGUGGGGGGGUAUCACCGCGUCAGCUUGCUAGUCAACUUCCCAUAAUACACAGUUAGUUAUUAAACUAAUACGUAAACGUGUGAAUAGUAUCGUAAGUAUCACUGCAGUCUUGUCGUAAUUACAACAAUGCAUCGUUACCUCUAAGUGUUUUCACAGUUUUUGCAAAGUUACAAUCUUACCUGUAGCAGCCAUCUUGAUUUCUCUCAAUCUGAAGUCGGAUCUACCAAGAAGUUCAGGGAGAGCGGAAACCUCUAGAACGCUCGCGUCGAUUGGCUUAUUCUUGUAGUUGUGUGUUUUCAUUGGCCAACGGCAGAUGCGUUCAAGGGGCGGGACCUGAGUCCACCGUUCUGUCGCGAGCCCUCCGCUAACAGAAGCAGGGCACACACUAUUCUGUCAUAUCUCGGAAUUUCAACUCUUGGUUGUCAAUGGGCACCGAGCCAGCACAGGCUCCUGUUACACACUGAGGAACCUCCUCUUCUUGGCCGUGUGUGUAUAUGCGUGGUGACGCCACUCAACAUCUGCGGUGGUCUCAUUUUCCAGGGUGCCGAGUUUGAUCAUGUACACUAAACAAAAGGGUAGCAUGCCAAAGUUAAACAGCAGAUUCUUAUGUUAUAAUAUUCCUAUGCUGUCAAACAAUAUUACCAGGAUUUCUGUUAAAGAUCUUUGUCACAUAAUUGAUUUAAAAGGUAGCUUCAGCUUUAUCAGUGUGUCACAGUGAUGUUUGACAGCCUGUGUAUUAUACACCAUUAACCUCUGCACAGUGUACAGACAUCAUCAUUACUGUUACUUCAAUGCAACAUGAAUGCCUGCAUGCCAUGUCACUUACCCGGGUCAAUCAAAUAUGUGCACAAAUUUGUGCACUUUUUUUUGGAAGCAAAUUGCUGGAGAGAAAUGCUUUUCCUAGCAUCAUCAACAGCUUAAACAACACUGCUCUGAACUAUAGUGUUCUUUUGACAUAUUGCUUGCUAGUGCACACUUUUCUGAUCACGAUCUAUUCCAAGACCAUCUUUCCCUGUGUCCUGCCAUGUUUUAAGCUAACCCUGGAUCUAGAGACUGGUCUGAACAGAUCUUUCUUCUACUUUCUACUGGAUCAGUCUAAAAGAAAAAAAUAAAUAAAAGAUCAUUUUACAUACAUUUCAUUUCAAACCUGGGUCCUACUUCUGUCAGCUCUAUGUUCUUGUGGUCUGUUUUCUUGUAGUUGUGAUGUCUGUAAUAGGAAAAAGUAUUACUGUUUGGUUCCCAAACCCAG